AAAAAAACAAACCCUGGUUGUCCUGGGUUUCCCUUCUCUUAUAUGAAAUUUUUUUAUAAUUAGUAUUUUUAUUGUUGUUAAAUGAUAAAACAUGAUUAAUACUUUAUACGUGACUUGUCUUUUUAAUUUUUUUCAUAAUUUUUUCAAAUAAGACGGACGGUCAAACGUUGGACAUGGAAACUCAGGGUUUGUCUUUUU
rfam:Oryza glumipatula chromosome 8, whole genome shotgun sequence.